CUCCUGGACCACGCCUCCUAAAAAAAAGAACAUUUUGUUCACAGAACUACACAGGUUUGCAUUGCAGACCACGUGUCACAUUAAGUAACAAGCUCUGAGGUCAACUUACUCAACUUCUUGCACAUUUUUUAAGGCGGUGUAAUGUGUUGCUACAUGUUGGCCCACAGUGUAAAAUCAGUUCGAAGCUGGGUCGGAUUUAAUUUGGAUUUUCUGAUCGGAUAUUUAGUGGCCAGGUUUUACUCUUCGGAUUGGAUCAGAAACCUCCCCCGGAACCCCUCACCCCGUCUUUCAGUCGACUUUUCAAAGCAUAAUUUGAGUGUGUAGGCUUGAAGAAGUCACCGCGUGGGUGGGAAAAAUGGGUGAUUGGCUGUGAUUGCAACAUCAUCCUCAGCUGCAGAGGUAGGUGUGAAGAGUGCUGAUCUCGGAUCACCUGCAAACCAACAUAAAACACACAAUGAUAUAGAUAUGAACUACAUUUUAUUUGCAGAUGCAUCCUUUGCUACAAAUGAUCAAGCGUUCACUAAGGGAAUGCUGUUAUUGAACUUUAAGAAAUAAAAUAUUUAUUUAGCAUUUACAAAAAUAUAAUUAAAUUGCUUGGUUGCAUUAACUUUCUUAUAUUGCAUAUAAUAAUUUUAAGUAGUUAAUCAAAAAAUGUUAAUCAGAAAUGUUUUUUUAGCUGACAUUGAUUAAUCAUGAUGUUAAUUAAUAGAAUAAAUCAGUAAUAACAAUAAUAUAAUUGUCA